AUUGAACGCUGGCGGCAGGCCUAACACAUGCAAGUCGAACGGUAACAGGAAGAAGCUUGCUUCUUUGCUGACGAGUGGCGGACGGGUGAGUAAUGUCUGGGAAACUGCCUGAUGGAGGGGGAUAACUACUGGAAACGGUAGCUAAUACCGCAUAACGUCGCAAGACCAAAGAGGGGUACCUUCGGGCCUCUUGCCAUCGGAUGUGCCCAGAUGGGAUUAGCUAGUAGGUGGGGUAACGGCUCACCUAGGCGACGAUCCCUAGCUGGUCUGAGAGGAUGACCAGCCACACUGGAACUGAGACACGGUCCAGACUCCUACGGGAGGCAGCAGUGGGGAAUAUUGCACAAUGGGCGCAAGCCUGAUGCAGCCAUGCCGCGUGUAUGAAGAAGGCCUUCGGGUUGUAAAGUACUUUCAGCGGGGAGGAAGGGGGUAAAGUUAAUACCUUUGCUCAUUGACGUUACCCGCAGAAGAAGCACCGGCUAACUCCGUG
rnacentral:rRNA from 1 species